UACGUAGGGGGCAAGCGUUGUCCGGAUUUAUUGGGCGUAAAGAGCGUGUAGGCGGCCUGACAGGUCUGCUGUGAAAACUCGAGGCUCAACCUCGAGAUGUCGGCGGAAACCGUCUGGCUAGAGUCCGGAAGAGGAGAGUGGAAUUCCUGGUGUAGCGGUGAAAUGCGCAGAUAUCAGGAAGAACACCUAUGGCGAAGGCGGCUAUCUGGACGGUUACUGACGCUAAGACGCGAAAGCGUGGGGAGCGAACAGG
rnacentral:rRNA from 1 species